GGGGGUGUGUUACCGGACCGAAACCCGUCUCCGACGUUUGCCACCGCCGUACACCAUCGUCGGUAUCAUCUCCGACUCCCUCAUCCUUUAUCAUCACAUUGUCAUCUUCAACGUCAUCUAACAGCGUCAUCGACACCAUCCCUAUAAUCAGCAUCAUCGGCACCAGCGGAACAGUCGCCGGGAAACCGAAGGAGGAAGAAUGAGGGUGAGGGGUGUUUGCUGAAGAAACAGAGGGUGGUAGUGGGUGUCGGGGUGCGGCUGUCGUCGGAGACUCCGAUCGGAGCCGGUUCAUCGCCGGAGUAUGCACCGGAGAGGGAGAGAAGUGAAACGGGUGUGGGGGUCGCCGGUUUCUUACAAAAGAAAGAUGAGAAGUUGGGAUGGUGAAAGAAACACCAUGUUCAUGUACUCAUUCUAAAAACAAAACAAGGUAUGGUGCAUAUCUUUGAACGAUGUGUAGUAAGGAAAGUUAGUCAAAAUAGUGGGGCCUACUAACCUACUUGUUCAUCCAUUUGUCCACUCAAGUAUAUUAAAAUAAAUAAAAGUUUUUCUUGUGGGUACAAGUAAACGGCAAGAAGGAAAAGGUGGAAUGAUGUUUCACCUAAUCCUAUCUAUUACCCAUGACUAGCUCAAUUUAAAAUACUUUUUAAUAUAGGCCAUAUGGGGUUUUCUUUAACGAAAAGAAAAAGAAAGUAUGGCAAGAAAAAAUAAUAAUAAUACUCAUGUGCCUAUUUUUAUGAACUUAUUUGUUUCUGCUGUUUUUUUCUAUAUUGUUUAUAAAAUGAAUUUGUGGGUACUAUAUGUAUAGAUGUACAUAUGUAACCUUAUGGGUGUAUAUACACACACAUUGCAUUAUAUUUGUAAUCUAUGUUCAUUGAUAACGUAAAUACGCGUAAAAAAACCAAAGUUAAUUUGAUUCAUAAAUAAAUGCUCAAAUACAUAUAUUAUACAUAAAAAUAACAUGUGAAAUACUUUCCUAGCAUCUUGGUUCUUUUAUCACCAACGUUCGCAUUCUGUAAAGUUGGAUGUAGACGUUACUAGGCAUACUAAAGGCCUGUUUAAGUUAAUCCGCGUCUUAAAACACUAUUUAUUUUCGUUUUAAACGUCUGUUAAUCGCGUAAUUACAAGCCGUUAAUUACCAGUUGUCACAUUCUCCCCCUGUUGCAGAAAUUUCGUCCUCGAAAUUUAGUCUAUGUUAUCUCCUUAGAGCUAUGAAGUUCCUAGGUAAGUCCAUAUAAUGCCAAAGUGAAUGACAACUUGAGUGAACCAAGACUUGUUCAAAUUAUGUGAAUGUAAGGACAUUUUGCGUCAAUAAGAACCCAACGGUUCAACUGAGUUUGUUACAGAGAUCGAUGUCAAGUGAACGAAGCAUAGUGAUACUAUCACCAAUGUGUUCAAGUUUGCGGGGUUCAAUAAGAGAGGAAUUUGACCAAUAGAAUUCCAAAUGAACGUUCACAACUGCAAAUCAAUUUUUGAAACAAUAGAAUUCACUACCAACAGAAACUGGUGUUGGUUGUUGUAUGAUUGAAACUCGAGUUUAACAAGUUCAAAUAAAUAGAAUCAUAAAAAAAAAACGAUUUGCCAACAAUCAAACCGUUAUAUGAAUAAAAUUAACGUGUUGACAUUACCGAGUUGCAAGGAUACACCGAAACGAAAUACAACCAAACCUGGUGUAUCAUCGUCUUAAUACAUAAUUGCAUUAAGACUAUUCAAAUGAUGUGUCAAUCGAAAAGCAUAAAUAGUUACGCAUGAAAUGACUGAUAGUAAUUAGCACAAGCUACAAGUUUAGACCGACGCCACAGGGUGUCGUAGUGAAUGCAACAAUUCAAUAAUAGCGGUGAUCGAACAAGUACCACCUGUGUUUUGCAUGAAAUGCUCGAUCAUGAUUAGCCCAAGCUACAAGUUUAUACCGACACCACAAUGUGUCAUAGUGAUUGAAACAAUUCAAUAAUAGCAGUGAUCAAACGAGUAUCACCGUGUUUUGAAAUCAAGCGAAGGGUUCACGAAGUAAAUCUGAAUAUUUGUUUCAAAUAAUUUUCAUAGGAUCUACAACCGAAAAUGGAACAGAUAAACAAUGUUUUCGAGCGAAGAUGAAAAGCAAUGAAUAUCACAAAAUGUUCGCUUGAUGGUGAAAGAACCGUUAAGAGGUACACUAGAAUAUUUAACACGAACUUGUGUACCGAUAUUUUGAUACACGAUUGCAUUAAGACUAAUUAAUACAACCAAUCGAACAAGCGGAUUUAAUAUCAAUAAACAAAUAUAUAAUUAAAUCCGUACAUGAGGUGAACAACGAGAUUAGCGCAAGCUUCAAACUUGUGAAAAAAAAAAAAAA
rnacentral:lncRNA from 1 species